UACGAAGGGGGCUAGCGUUGCUCGGAAUUACUGGGCGUAAAGCGUGCGUAGGCGGUUUCCUAAGUCGGAUGUGAAAGCCCUGGGCUCAACCUGGGAAUGGCACUCGAUACUGGGAAGCUGGAGUGCGGUAGAGGAGGGUGGAAUUCCCGGUGUAGCGGUGAAAUGCGUAGAGAUCGGGAGGAACAUCAGUGGCGAAGGCGACCCUCUGGACCAGCACUGACGCUGAGGCACGAAAGCGUGGGGAGCAAACAGG
rnacentral:rRNA from 1 species